AUGGCUCAGGAUGAACGCUGGCGGCGUGCCUAACACAUGCAAGUCGAACGAAGCACUUGUUACGAUCCCUUCGGGGUGACGACUUGUGACUGAGUGGCGGACGGGUGAGUAACGCGUGGGAAACCUGCCCUAUACCGGGGGAUAACAGUUGGAAACGACUGCUAAUACCGCAUAAGCGCACGAGAUGGCAUCAUCUAGUGUGAAAAAACUCCGGUGGUAUAGGAUGGUCCCGCGUCUGAUUAGCUAGUUGGUGAGGUAACGGCCCACCAAGGCGACGAUCAGUAGCCGACCUGAGAGGGUGACCGGCCACAUUGGGACUGAGACACGGCCCAAACUCCUACGGGAGGCAGCAGUGGGGAAUAUUGCACAAUGGGCGAAAGCCUGAUGCAAGCGACGCCGCGUGAGCGAUGAAGUAUUUCGGUAUGUAAAGCUCUAUCAGCAGGGAAGAACAAAUGACGGUACCUGACUAAGAAGCUCCGGCUAAAUACGUGCCAGCCGCCGC
rnacentral:rRNA from 1 species